rnacentral:rRNA from 1 species
AUUGAACGCUGGCGGCAGGCCUAACACAUGCAAGUCGAGCGAGCGGCGGACGGGUGAGUAAUGUAUGGGGACUGCCCGAUAGAGGGGGAUAACUACUGGAAACGGUGGCUAAUACCGCAUACUAUCGGAUAACCCAUAUGGGAUUAGCUAGUAGGUGGGGUAAAGGCUCACCUAGGCGACGAUCUCUAGCUGGUCUGAGAGGCUGAGCGUCCAAACUGGGACUGAGACACGGCCCAGACUCCUACGGAGGAAGCAGUGGGGAAUAUUGGACAAUGGGCGCAAGCCUGAUGCGGACAGCCCGCGUGUAUGAAGAAGGCCUUAGGGUUGUAAGGUACUUUCAGCGGGGAGGCGUUACCCGCAGAAGAAGCAACGGCUAACUCCGUGCCAGCAGCCGCGGUAAUUC